rnacentral:lncRNA from 1 species
UCUCCUUAUUUCCCACAUUUUCCCUUUCUUGAUGUUUCUCCUUCCUCUGCUGCCUUCUUCCCAGCCUUUCUGGAGUGUAUCUGUCUCCUUUGCUGGGGGUUCCAGGCCACUCUAACCCACACACCCUCGGCUCCUCACCCACAGUCUCAGUAUCUUUGGGUCAUUUUGAGAAGCUUGCUGUUUCAGGAGGGAACCGGAGCUAGGGUGUGUGACACAGGUCUGGAAGGUGGAUGGGGCGGAAGGCUAGGGUUUGGAAAAAGAUAUCUUUGGUGCGUGUGCGCUCCUAUAUUUGUUUAUCAUCAGUCUUCAUCUUUGUAUCAUUUUCAUCUUAAUAAAAAAGACAUAACUGAUGGAUCAUCACCAUUUCGUCUCGGGGUGCCCCUACUGUCUUUUGGUCCCUUGGUGUACACACUUCCCAAUUUCUCCUCUGACUCCUCUCUCAGUUUCUCAGUCUCCAUCUCCUCAAAAAUCUUGGCGCCCCACCCAGGCUUUUCCUUGGCCAACUAUGUCCAUCUUUCUCGGAGACCUUUCCAUCUCUCUGUCUCUCGGACGUACUCCCUGAUGUUUUUAGUGAUCUCUGACCCUCUCCAUCUCUGUACUCUUUUGCUUCAUUUAUGUCCCUCUCCCUCCUCCUUUAACCUCCCCCCCCCCCCCCCCCCCCCCCCCNNNNNCCCCCCCCCCCCCCAGUCUCCCCGUCUGGCUCCCUCCCUGUCAGUCUCUUUCCUCUCCCUCCCACCCUCCUUUCCUCAGUGCCCCCCCCUUCUCCACCUCCCAGCCCCGCCUGCUGUCUCAGGACACCCUGCUGGGCUCUUACCCUGUUGCCCUGGUAACCGCCCCCCACUCCGGUCACCUCCACUCCCCUCCCCCCCUCCAAUCACCGCCACCAACAACCUCCAUCCACCUUCCUCCUAUUUUUCCUGAGAGCCAAUAGAAACCCUGUUGCCAGGUGGAAUGCUCAUUUGAAUCAGCCAAUCCAGGAGCCUAACUGCUUGCCCUGCCUUAUAUGGGGAUUUGAGGAGGGCCACUCCCCCCACUCCAGCCCCACAGGGGACCAGCCCCUCUACUGUCCUUUCUCCCCGCCCUGGAGAGAGCCUGGGACCCUCCGUCUCACCCUUCUAUAAGGGUCUGGCCUCCCAUUUCUCUAACUGGGACCACCGGGGUUAGUGUGGGAUGUGGGCUGGACUGUGGGCAGGGCCUCAGGGCCGGGGGUGGGAAUGAGGUGUGAUUAGGGAAGGGGAGGCGGAGGGAGCCGGGAAUUUUGCCCAGGGAGGGGUGUCUGGGAGCGGAGGCAGCUGCAGUGGAAAAUUCCAGGGAGAUGGAGCGGCAGAGAAUGGGAAUCCUGCCCCAAGGCCCAAGGGAGAGCCUUGAGAAUCUAAGAGUGUGGACACUAGGGUCCAGAGGGACCAAAGGAAAAAGAUGUAGGAAGCUGGAGGCCUGGAUCUCAUUCCCUUCCUGCACGGGAGAAGCACCCCUUAGCCUCCACUGUCUGGUUGGACCACAGACCAGUCUCCUGAAGUCUUGGCUUCAAGAGAAGAAAGCCAGGCAGGACACUUAGGAUGAAUUUGAAAGAUUUCUGAGGCCUUGUGGAGGCUUGCCUGUUCCUAGAGCUCUAUUACUCCACGAUUCAACUGAGAAUUUUCCACUGGUCACAUGGGGAAACCUGUGCUUCUUACACAUUUUCUGGAGGUGGGAAAAGGGAGGCCAAGUGAGAAGAGGGGAGGACUGAGCCCCCUGGAAACUAUUACUUCUGACAUCCUAGCAGUUCUACUUCCAUCUCAUUCUUAACUGAAUUCUUCCCCCCUCCAGUUUCCUGGGGUUUUUUUAGUUUGCCUGUUUAUCUGAUAGGUUAAGUGAGUGUCUAGUUAGUGUCUUUCAAGGAUGGGAGGACGGAAACCUCAAAGCUGGACCUCCCCGCUCCUCACUUCAUCCCGUUCUACUCCCAAUGGCCUCGUUUGCUAGUCUGAUUUUUCCUUUGCUUUUCAAAAAUUUUUUAAUUGUUUAAUCUUUUCAAAACUCAAGUCAGUCAGGGGAGCGGUGAGAGAAGAUGGACUCCUAGAGAGAGAGAGAGACCUCACUCAGCCUAACUUGGAUUCAAGUUUGUUUUAAGUAUGUUCCCUGAAGGACUAUUAUUGAAGAAAUCAUCUUCGUUACAACACGAAGGCGAGAUCGUCAGGAACACACCUCGUCAAGUUGGGCCCUCAUCCUCUUCUACUCACAUCUAUGUCGAGUUAAACUACAAUGAUGCUCAGCUUUCCGUGAGCCCCCUGCGCUUCAACAAACGUUUAUGGAACGCCCCGUAGGUCUUGGGCCCUGUGCUGUGUGGUAGAGCCACAAAGCUGAGUGGAAAAGACGUGGGCCCGGCACUCUUUUCUGCUGGACAGCACCCUGUCCCAUCUGGGGGCAGUGGGGGAUGGAGGGUCCUUUCCUGGAGGGCCUCCAUGACUUUUCUCCUGAUUGCAAAUCCUCAUCCCCUGUUCCCACCUCCAAACUGCUUCCCUCACUCCUCCACUCGUAUCAGUGUCUCCUUCUCCUGGGCACGAUACCUAGCACACAGCUAGGCACCCAAGAGGAAGAGCUCAAUGAAGUAUUGACUUCCUAGCCCUGACCCCCUAUCUUGGCUUGACUUCCUAGCCCUCAGAGCCCCCUCAACCUUCUUUCCUUGAGCAGGCUGGAGAAACACAGGGCAGGCUGCCAGGAGACCAGCCCACCUCUCUCUGACUUGGCAUCUUCUCAAUAACUGCAAGUGUCCUGGUGGUCACUGUCUUAUAUAGGAUCAAUAUCACAACCAAAAUUUCUGUGGCUUUCCUACUUCCUCGUGAACUUUCUCCCCAGCAAAAGUAAUUGGUUUUACCAUCACACCUCUCUUCCAGAUUCUUCGAUUGGCCUUGCUUAUUCUCUGUGCUGUCCUUCGUGACUUCCUUCACUUUUACACUCAAAGUUUGCUGUUGAACCUCCACUGCCCUCCUUUCUUUUCUUUUUAGUUUUAUUUUUUUAGAGCCAUACCUGCGGCACAUGGAAGUUCCUGGACAGGGAUCAAAUCAAGCAGCUGUUGGCCUACACAGUAGUUUAUCUUUAACCCACUGAGUGGGGCCAGGGAUCGAACCCACGUCCUCAUGGAUACUAGUUGGGUUUGUUACCACUGAGCCACAAUGGGAACUCCUGCCCUCCUUUCAGUUUCUCCCCCAUGCGCAUCUUUUUUUCCUCCCGGUUUAAGAAAAAAUUUUUUAUUGGAGUUGAUUUACAAUGUUGUGUUAAUCUUUCAGUUUUAUCGAGAUAUGAUUGACAUAUGGCAUUGUGUAAGCUUAAUGUGUACAGCAUAGUGCUUUAACUUAAGACUUCAUUAAAUAACUACCACAAUA